AGUGUGUGCCUUACUAUGUGUGAGGAGGUGCUGUCUUGCUUUCAGUGUGUAAAUAUCAUGCCUUGAUGGAGAAACUGCAGCAGAGAGGCCCCGCUGCCCCAGCACAUCUGUCACAGCCCACACAACACCUCCAGAGUGAGAGCAACAAAUUCAACGAACUGCCAAGUUGUCUGUACCACCUGGGUGCAAGCAGGAAUGAAGAAACUGGCCCAGAGAGGUGAAACAACCCAGCCGAUGUCAUGUCGUAGCUAAGAUGACAGCUGUUGGCCUGUACCUCGGCCCUCAAGUUUCCCAUGCAAUGUGCUUCCUACUAUUCAUUGUUGCCCCGUCUCUAGGUUGUUAUCAAAUGGACCCUGCCAGACUGAAUUUCUUCCUGCAAAGAGGACAGUCCAGGUCUGCUGAUGGGUUUCCAACACAGGAAACUCAGGGGUUCUAAUACCUCCUCUUGACCCAGUAACUGACAAGCCCUGAGCCUCAGGAUUCCUGGCCCUGUCCCCUCUCACCUCCUCUGCCAAACCAUGGUACUAGAAGAAAAUUACAAGAGAAAAUAUGACACAAAUUGUGAAAAUGGUAUACAGCAGCUCAGCUUUGGGAAACGUGAGUCCUGUCUGCUUAUGGAUGUAUCGAUUCAUGGGUAUUACACUUGUCUCCCAAGUUGCUUGCUGAUGCUUUCAAGGUCAGGUAAUAACAUUCUCCAAGGAACUAAGCGGAGUGGCUGUCCUCAUUUCUCCCCUGACCUGCAGGCUGGCUGGCUGGUUGCCUUGCUUCUGGGAGAUGGCCAGGCAGCCUGUUGCUCCCUGUGCCCCUCACCGACCAGGCAGCUCACUCCCUUUGUGGCAGCCUCAUG
rnacentral:lncRNA from 10 species